rnacentral:rRNA from 1 species
ACGGAGCAAUGCCGCGUGAGUGAAGAAGGUUUUCGGAUCGUAAAACUCUGUUGUUAGAGAAGAACAUGGAUGAAAGUAACUGCUCACCCCCUGACGGUAUCUAACCAGAAAGCCACGGUUAACUACGUGCCAGCAGCCGCGGUAAAU